GCGCAGCAGGCGAGAAACUUUACAAUGUGCGAAAGCACGAUAAGGGAACUCUGAGUGCCUCCUAAGGAGGCUGUUCAGGUGUCUAAAAGCACCUGAAGGAAGGGCCGGGUAAGACCGGUGCCAGCCGCCGCGGUAACACCGGCAGCCCAAGUGGUAGCCACGUUUAUUGGGUCUAAAGCGUCCGUAGCCGGCUGGGUAAGUUCCUUGGGAAAUUUGGCUGCUUAACAGUCAAGCUUUCAGGGAAUACUGCCCGGCUUGGGACCGGGAGAGGUCAGAGGUACUCCAGGGGUAGGGGUGAAAUCCAUUAAUCCUUGGGGGACCACCGGUAGCGAAGGCGUCUGACCAGACCCGGGUCCGACGGUGAGGG
rnacentral:rRNA from 1 species